rnacentral:rRNA from 1 species
GACGAACCGUGCAAACGUUGUUCGGAAUCACUGGGCUUAAAGGGCGCGUAGGCGGGUGGUCAAGUCAGGGGUGAAAUCUUUCAGCUCAACUGGAAAACAGCUUUUGAUACUGGCCAUCUUGAGGGGGGUAGGGGCAUGUGGAACUUCCGGUGGAGCGGUGAAAUGCGUAGAUAUCGGAAGGAACGCCGGUGGCGAAAGCGACGUGCUGGACCCUUUCUGACGCUGAGGCGCGAAAGCCAGGGGAGCAAACGGG